UACGUAGGGUGCGAGCGUUAAUCGGAAUUACUGGGCGUAAAGCGUGCGCAGGCGGUUUUGUAAGCCGGAUGUGAAAUCCCCGGGCUUAACCUGGGAAUGGCAUUCGGGACUGCAAGGCUGGAGUGCGGCAGAGGAGACUGGAAUUCCUGGUGUAGCAGUGAAAUGCGUAGAUAUCAGGAGGAACACCGAUGGCGAAAGGCAGGUCUCUGGGCUGACACUGACGCUCAUGCACGAAAGCGUGGGGAGCAAACAGG
rnacentral:rRNA from 1 species